rnacentral:pre_miRNA from 1 species
UUCAAUCCAGACCAGUUUUUCUUUAUGUUAAAUAACCUAGAAAACUGUAUCUGGAUUGAUG